CUUUGAGCACCAGCCAAGGCCUGGCCUUUGAGUGAUGCUGGCCAGGUCUGGUCUGCAUUCAGACUCUAGGGGUGAAAUCCUACAGGCUGACAAGUCUCCAGAUGUUGGUUCAGGUGGGGGUGAGAUGCCAGAACUUCCUCAGGAUGCUGGACUUGCUCCAGGGAUCACAAACAGACUUUUGUCUGCUGAAAGACAGCAUCAUAACUAUUUGCUUUAUGAAGCAGGUGCUUUGGCAUUUUGCUGCAGUUAAGCAGCACAGGUGAAGGUAAAGAAAGCUGAAUGUGGGCAGGACAUUUCUACUCUGCCAUUCUCAUGUUCAGGGUAUUGAACAAUGUGGUGAAGUAGCAAAAACUCUGAACUAUGGCCAGAAAUUGCCCAAGACAAGGUCUUAGUGUAUUACAAAUGAGAUGCACUGUUCAUACUAAGCUGAUGGAAAAUACUGAACUACAGCUGCUGGAAAGAGCAACUAAAGUUUUAAGGAUAUGUGCAGACUCAAAAGCUUCUUUAAAACUGACAGCAAAUAAGAACAACGCCCCAAAUUCACACCCCAGGCUCUACAUGUUAAAACUGUGCUCAUCUAAUGCAUAGAGGAAGGCUGCUGCAAAAUGUGGAUCUAGGAAGUAGUUCUUACUCCCUGGGUGAGUAGAACCAUAGAAUCAUAGAACUAUAAAAUAACAGAAUCAUAGAAUCAUAGAAUCAUAGAAUCAUAAAAUCAGAACCAUAGAAUCAUAGAAUCAUAGAAUCAUAGAAUCAUAGAAUCAUA
rnacentral:lncRNA from 12 species